GGCAAGAUUUUGAAGAUUAUUUGAAGGAAAAUAUAAAGUAGCCUUAUGUAGCCUUAUUUAUUUAUUUAUGGCUAUGCCAUGGGACAUGCAGGAUCUUAGGUCCCUGACCAGGGAUCAAACCCAUGUCCCUUGCAGCAGAAGCACAGAGUCCUAACCACUGGACUGCCAAGGAAGUCCCUCGUGCUCUGGCUUAGUUGCUCAGCUGUGUCUGACUCUUUGCGACCCCAUGAACUGUAGCCCGCCAGGCUCCUCUAUCCGUGGGAUUCUCCAGGCAAGAAUGCUGGAAUGGGUUGCCAUUCCUUUCUCCAGGAGAUCUUCCCAACCCAGGGAUCAAACCUGGUUCUCCUGCAUUGCAGGCAGAUUCUUUACCAUCUCAGCUACCUAGUCUAAAUUAAUUGACAACUUAGAAAAUUACUAGAUUGUUGGAAAUGAUUUGCUAACAAAGUUAAGAAAUUAAAAUGAUAAUAGCAUUUGGCCAUUAAUUUAGGAAUAACCGAGGAAUAUUCAGCCUCUUCUCCACUGCAUGGAAAAAGAAAAAUUUGCUAACGACAGAAAUCUGGGCUUUUCAACAUUUAAGGAAGAAUUGGAGGCAGAUUAUCCAACAAAGAAAAGUGAAGAAGAAGAGUUAAAGAGUGGGCUCAGGAAAAAAAAAAAAAAAACCCCAAAGAGGAGAAAAUGUUAGAAAGUGCUCAGUGUUGACAAAUGCCAUCAAGAAGUCAAGUUGAUGAAGACUAAAUGCAUUUGAUUGAUUAUGAAAUGUGUGGUGAAAAUUGGAUAAGCAGGUAGGAGUGAAGAAAGGAAAUACAGGAUGCUAUAAGAAGCUUGAAAAGGAAAGAAAAAGAGUGUGGCAGUUUGGGGACAUUGAGUGUCAAGAAAGGAUGUCAGCAUUUCUCAGGAUAAGGGAGACUUGAAGCAUUAGAGAAGUUAAAGUAACAUUUAUUAACCACCUGCUAAUUUCUAGACUCUGUGUUUGAAGGUGUAUUUAUACAUAUUAUCAAGUUGUAGACACUGAGGAGAAG
ensembl:lncRNA